UACGGAGGGGGCUAGCGUUGUUCGGAAUUACUGGGCGUAAAGCGCACGUAGGCGGAUUGGAAAGUCAGAGGUGAAAUCCCAGGGCUCAACCUUGGAACUGCCUUUGAAACUCCCAGUCUUGAGUUCGAGAGAGGUGAGUGGAAUUCCGAGUGUAGAGGUGAAAUUCGUAGAUAGUUCGGAGGAACACCAGUGGCGAAGGCGGCUCACUGGCUCGAUACUGACGCUGAGGUGCGAAAGCGUGGGGAGCAAACAGG
rnacentral:rRNA from 1 species